CCCUUAGAUGUUCUGGGCCGCACGCGCGCUACACUGAUGCAUUCAACGAGUCUAAAACCUGGUCUGAUAAGGCUGGGUAAUCUUUUGAAAGUGCAUCGUGAUUGGGAUAGAUGAUUGCAAUUCUUCAUCUUCAACGAGGAAUGCCUAGUAAACGCAAGUCAUCAGCUUGCAUUGAUUACGUCCCUGCCCUUUGUACACACCGCCCGUCGCUCCUACCGAUUGAAUGAUCCGAUGAAUACCAUGGAUUGAGAGUACGAAUGGGUUCGCUCAUUUCUGCUGCUCGAGAAGUGGAGUAAAUCUUAUCAUUUAGAGGAAGGAGAAGUCGUAACA
rnacentral:rRNA from 1 species